GUUCCUCUGAUGCUAUUGCAGUUGCCACACCCCCUCCAUCUCAAGAUCUGCGGUAUCUAAAAUCUUCGGCUUUGAACAUAUGGUUACUUGGAUAUGAAUUCCCAGAGACAAUCAUGGUUUUUAUGGGCAAGCAGAUACAUUUCUUGUGUAGUCAAAAGAAGGCUGCCCUACUAGAUACCCUAAAAAAAUCUGCCAAAGAUGCUGUUGGUGCUGAUGUUGUGAUGCAUAUCAAGGCUAAGAACGAUGAAGGUACAGGAUUGAUUGAGGAGAUAUUAGGUGCUGUCCG
rnacentral:misc_RNA from 1 species